AGUCGAACGCCAGCGAAAGGUGCUUGCACCUUUCAAGUGAGUGGCGAACGGCUGAGUAACACGUGGACAACCUGCCUCAAGGCUGGGGAUAACAUCUGGAAACAGAUGCUAAUACCGAAUAAAACUUAGUGUCGCAUGACACAAAGUUAAAAGGCGCUUCGGCGUCACCUAGAGAUGGAUCCGCGGUGCAUUAGUUAGUUGGUGGGGUAAAGGCCUACCAAGACAAUGAUGCAUAGCCGAGUUGAGAGACUGAUCGGCCACAUUGGGACUGAGACACGGCCCAAACUCCUACGGGAGGCUGCAGUAGGGAAUCUUCCACAAUGGGCGAAAGCCUGAUGGAGCAACGCCGCGUGUGUGAUGAAGGCUUUCGGGUCGUAAAGCACUGUUGUAUGGGAAGAACAGCUAGAAUAGGAAAUGAUUUUAGUUUGACGGUACCAUACCAGAAAGGGACGGCUAAAUACGUGCCAGCAGCCGCGGUAAUACGUAUGUCCCGAGCGUUAUCCGGAUUUAUUGGGCGUAAAGCGAGCGCAGACGGUUUAUUAAGUCUGAUGUGAAAGCCCGGAGCUCAACUCCGGAAUGGCAUUGGAAACUGGUUAACUUGAGUGCAGUAGAGGUAAGUGGAACUCCAUGUGUAGCGGUGGAAUGCGUAGAUAUAUGGAAGAACACCAGUGGCGAAGGCGGCUUACUGGACUGCAACUGACGUUGAGGCUCGAAAGUGUGGGUAGCAAACAGGAUUAGAUACCCUGGUAGUCCACACCGUAAACGAUGAACACUAGGUGUUAGGAGGUUUCCGCCUCUUAGUGC
rnacentral:rRNA from 1 species